rnacentral:rRNA from 1 species
AUGCACGCUGGCGGCGUGCCUAAUACAUGCCCGUCGAGCGAACAGACGAGGAGCUUGCUCCUCUGACGUUAGCGGCGGACGGGUGAGUAACACGUGGAUAACCUACCUAUAAGACUGGGAUAACUUCGGGAAACCGGAGCUAAUACCGGAUAAUAUAUUGAACCGCAUGGUUCCAUAGUGAAAGACGGUUUUGCUGUCACUUAUAGAUGGAUCCGCGCCGCAUUAGCUAGUUGGUAAGGUAACGGCUUACCAAGGCGACGAUGCGUAGCCGACCUGAGAGGGUGAUCGGCCACACUGGAACUGAGACACGGUCCAGACUCCUACGGGAGGCAGCAGUAGGGAAUCUUCCGCAAUGGGCGAAAGCCUGACGGAGCAACGCCGCGUGAGUGAUGAAGGUCUUCGGAUCGUAAAACUCUGUCAUUAGGGAAGAACAAAUGUGUAAGUAACUAUGCACGUCUUGACGGUACCUAAUCAGAAAGCCACGGCUAACUACGUG